UAUAGCUUGAUUUCAAAGAUUAAAACCUAAUAUAGAUCAUGCUACACAUUUUGUCAGAAUGCAAAGUAUUUUGGGGUCAGAGCAGAUUUUCUGGGCCCUGUGAGUGACUUUUAAACCAAGAACUGGUCUUUGAAAAUAAUUUAUUACUUACAAAUAACAUAGGUGAGGGAGGCAUCUCAACACAUCAAGUCAGCAGAUUUUUAGAGUUUUCCCUCUUGGAUUUUGUUCUUGUUUUGGCUCAGUAUUUCCUCAUGAUACCCUUUUCCUUUCAACUAGAGAAUGGUAAUGUAUAUAAUGCAUAUUUGAUAUUAUACGUGGGAAGUCCUAUCUUUUUGAUGCAGUUAUGAGAUUGCCCUGAGUCUCAGAACAGGCUUUGGAUUUUAAAACUGCCUUGAGACUGUGAAAGAUGAAAGACUAUGGGGACUUAUAUAAUUGGACAGAGAGCAUUUUGUAUUUUUUAUGGCUACAGGCUUAUACGGUCAGGUAGUGGAAUGAUGUGGUUUAAAUGAGAGUGACACACAGCUGGCUCAAAGGUUUGGAUAUUUGUUCCUUAAUAACUGGAACUGGAAUUGUUUAGAAAGGAUUAGGAGGUAAGACCUUGUUUAAGGUCUCUCUCUUUGCUUUCCCUUCCUCCAUCCCUUUCCCCUCCCCUCCUCCUCUUUCUUCUUCCCCUCUCUGUUUCUCUGUCUCUAUUCUGUUCUCUCUCUCUCUCUCUCUCUCUCUCUCUCUCUCUCUCUCUCCCUCUCCCUCUCCCUCUCCCUCUCCCUCUCCCUCCCUCCUUCUCUCUCUCUCUCUCUCUCUCUCUCUCUCUCUCUCUCUCUCUCUCUCUCUCUCUCUGUGUGUGUGUGUGUGUGUGUGCAUGGCCUGUGGCUCAGGGUUAAGCUGUUAGUCUUAUGCCAGCCUGUCACCAUGCUUCCUGUCUUGAUAACAAUGGAUUAAACAUCUGAAUUGU
rnacentral:lncRNA from 1 species